UAGGGAAUCUUCGGCAAUGGACGAAAGUCUGACCGAGCAACGCCGCGUGAGUGAAGAAGGUUUUCGGAUCGUAAAACUCUGUUGGUAGAGAAGAACGUUGGUGAGAGUGGAAAGCUCAUCAAGUGACGGUAACUACCCAGAAAGGGACGGCUAACUACGUGCCAGCAGCCGCGGUAAUACGUAGGUCCCGAGCGUUGUCCGGAUUUAUUGGGCGUAAAGCGAGCGCAGGUGGUUUAUUAAGUCUGGUGUAAAAGGCAGUGGCUCAACCAUUGUAUGCAUUGGAAACUGGUAGACUUGAGUGCAGGAGAGGAGAGUGGAAUUCCAUGUGUAGCGGUGAAAUGCGUAGAUAUAUGGAGGAACACCGGUGGCGAAAGCGGCUCUCUGGCCUGUAACUGACACUGAGGCUCGAAAGCGUGGGGAGCAAACAGGAUUAGAUACCCAAGUAGUCCCUGAGCGGGCUGGCAAGGCGCAU
rnacentral:rRNA from 1 species